rnacentral:rRNA from 1 species
AGUGAACGCUGGCGGUAGGCCUAACACAUGCAAGUCGAACGGCAGCACAGUAAGAGCUUGCUCUUACGGGUGGCGAGUGGCGGACGGGUGAGGAAUACAUCGGAAUCUACUUUUUCGUGGGGGAUAACGUAGGGAAACUUACGCUAAUACCGCAUACGACCUACGGGUGAAAGCAGGGGAUCUUCGGACCUUGCGCGAUUGAAUGAGCCGAUGUCGGAUUAGCUAGUUGGCGGGGUAAAGGCCCACCAAGGCGACGAUCCGUAGCUGGUCUGAGAGGAUGAUCCGCCACACUGGACCUGAGACACGGUCCAGGCUCCGACGGGAGGCAGCGGUGGGGAAUGUUGGACAAUGGGCGCAAGCCUGAUCCAGCCAUACCGCGUGGGUGAAGAAGGCCUGCGGGUUGUAAAGCCCUUUUGUUGGGAAAGAAAAGCAGCAGGUUAAUACCCCGCUGUUCUGACGGUACCCAAAGAAUAAGCACCGGCAAACUUCGU